AAGCAAGCAAGCAAGCAAGAGAAGAAGGACAGAAAGCAAGUAAGCAAGCAAGUAAGCAAAGAUAAAUAUCGAUGUUCCUUUCGUGGUCGUUACGAGGCUAAGGAUAAAGAAGAAAAGAAGAAGAUGAAGAAGACGAAGAAGAAGAAGAAGGGACUUGGAACGACCUCCUGGAAAGAGAUCGAGAAAAAGUAUCAGAAAAGAAGAGAGAGAGAGAGAGAGAGAGAUUCGACAUGGCCGUGAUAAGGUUAUCACGUUUUUUAUCUCAAAUCG